rfam:Janthinobacterium sp. KBS0711 VM94_contig000036, whole genome shotgun sequence.
UGUCUCCUCCAAUUCGUUCUCCGAACAUUGGAUUCAGCCCGCGAAUACAACCGCGGGCUUUUUUUU